rnacentral:rRNA from 1 species
UUGCAGGCUGNAACCCGCCCUGCAUGAAGUCGGAAUUGCUAGUAAUCGCGGAUCAGCAUGCCGCGGUGAAUACGUUCCCGGGCCUUGUACACACCGCCCGUCACACCAUGGGAGCCGGUAAUACCCGAAGUCAGUAGUCCAACCUCGUGAGGACGCUGCCGAAGGUAGGAUUGGCGACUGGGGUGAAGUCGUAACAAGGUAGC